UCGGUAAAAUAAUUUAAAAACAGCUAGCAAAUUAAAUUAAACCACGUUUAUACGGGUCAUGAACGCGGGAAUUUGUCAAAAUUGAGUGCGAAUGUUCGCCGCUAGGAUACGUCAUACUCGUCUGAGGCAAAGCGCUAAAAAUGUAUUUUGCCGCGUAGCCGUUGAAAAUGUUGAAAUAGAGCGGAUAGCCGCCACCCGGUGACCGUGUCAUUCUGUAUUUUGCGAUCACGCGGAACGGUCGUCGUCCGUCGAUAUUAUAAUUAAAUUUAAAACACAAUAUAAAUAAUGCAUAGUUUGUUUCAAGCGGGGCAUACCGCCCCACAGUGCCACUUGCAAAGCGCGCCGCCGCAGCGGCCACGGAUGCUGCCGCUGAGGCUGCAAUAGAGCAGCCAGGGCAGAGAAGGCCGCAGAAGCGGCCAUUGCUCUGGCCAAGAAAUUAAGAGGAGGCCGGCGGCCGCCCUGGCUGCUCAGCAACCGGACCAACAUGAGCCACAGCAGCAGCAACCGCCGCAGCAACCGCCGCAGCCUUAAUAACAUUUUUAUAAAACCAAAUAAUAUAAAAUACAAAAAAAAAAAAUUUAUUCAGUGUGUUUUCAUUUCCUGACCAUCAUUAUAGUUUAAUAAUUGGAGUUACUAAUUUGUAGGUGUCUUGUAAUUUAAAGAUAUGCGUACAUAUAAUGAUUACGAUGUUCAAAAUUUAAAAUAGUAAAUAAUUACAUCGAUAUUAUAUGGUACCUUUAAUGCUUUUAA